rnacentral:rRNA from 1 species
UAACACGUGAGUAAUCUGCCCCGAUGACUGGGACAACCCGAGGAAACUCGGGCUAAUACCGGAUGUUUUGCACACUCAUAAGGGUGUGUAGGAAAGGUAGCUUCGGCUUCCGCAUCGGGAGGGGCUCGCGGCCCAUUAGCUAGUUGGUGGGGUCAAGGCCUACCAAGGCAACGAUGGGUAGCUGGUCUGAGAGGACGAUCAGCCACACUGGGACUGAGACACGGCCCAG